UACGUGGGGGGCAAGCGUUGUCCGGAAUCAUUGGGCGUAAAGCGCGUGUAGGCGGCCCGGUAAGUCCGCUGUGAAAGUCCAGGGCUCAACCCUGGGAUGCCGGUGGAUACUGUCGGGCUCGAGUCCGGAAGAGGCGAGUGGAAUCCUGGUGUAGCGGUGAAAUGCGCAGAUAUCAGGAGGAACACCAAUGGCGAAGGCAGCUCGCUGGGACGUGACUGACGCUGAGACGCGAAAGCGUGGGGAGCAAACAGG
rnacentral:rRNA from 1 species